rnacentral:pre_miRNA from 1 species
UAACUUCCACAGGCUGGCCAAUUGCCAGGCUGGGCUGGGUAAGUAUCUCUUUGAAAGGCUCACCUCCAAGCACGUCUAGAAGC